rnacentral:rRNA from 1 species
AUUGAACGCUGGCGGCAUGCUUUACACAUGCAAGUCGGACGGCAGCACAGAGAAGCUUGCUUCUUGGGUGGCGAGUGGCGAGCGGGUGAGUAACAUAUCGGAACGUACCGAGCAGUGGGGGAUAACUAAUCGAAAGAUUAGCUACUACCGCAUAUUUUCUGAGGCAGAAAGCAGGGGACCUUUGGGCCUUGCGCUGUUUGAGCGGCGCAUAUCUGAUUAGCUAGGUGGUGGGGUAAAGGCCCACCAAGGCGACGAUCAGUAGCGGGUCUGAGAGGAUGAUCCGCCACACGGGGACUGAGACACGGCCCAGACUCCUACGGGAGGCAGCAGUGGGGAAUUUUGGACAAUGGGCGCAAGCCUGAUCCAGCCAUGCCGCGUGUCUGAAGAAGGCCUUCGGGUUGUAAAGGACUUUUGUCAGGGAAGAAAAGGGCGGGGUUAAUACCCCUGUCUGAUGACGGUACCUGAAGAAUAAGCACCGGCUAACUACGUG